AUUGAACGCUGGCGGCAUGCCUUACACAUGCAAGUCGAACGGCAGCGGGGACUUCGGUCCGCCGGCGAGUGGCGAACGGGUGAGUAAUGUAUCGGAACGUACCAUUGAGUGGGGGAUAACGUAGCGAAAGUUACGCUAAUACCGCAUAUUCUCUCCGGAGGAAAGCAGGGGACCGCAAGGCCUUGCGCUCUUUGAGCGGCCGAUAUCAGAGUAGCUAGUUGGUGGGGUAAAAGCACACCAAGGCGACGAUCUGUAGCGGGUCUGAGAGGAUGAUCCGCAACACUGGAACUGGGACACGGUCCAGACUCCUACGGGAGGCAGCAGUGGGGAAUUUUGGACAAUGGGUGCAACCCUGGUCCAGCCAUGCCGCGUGAGUGAAGAAGGCCUUCGGGUUGUAAAGCUCUUUCGGCCGGGAAAAAAUCGCAUGGGUUAAUACCCUGUGUGGAUGAUGGUACCGGAAUAAGAAGCACCGGCUAACUACGUGCCAGCCGCCGCAGUAAGAC
rnacentral:rRNA from 1 species